CAUUAAUUAUAAGUGCAAAUUUAGUCUGCUAUCGACAUAUUUUUAAAAAUGUUAAAUAGACAAUGGGAAUGGAAAUUAUUUAAAUUUUAAAUCAAAAAUAAAAUAAAUUUAAAAUUUAAAUGGUUGUUAAGAGAUUUCUAUGCAUUCUCGGAUUUUUAUCUGGUAUGAGAACUGAUUACAAUGCAAAGAAAUUUAGUUUGACCGAAUAAAAUUUGUUAACCGGUUUAAUUAUUAUUUUCGCCAACAACCAUUGCACUAGAUCCAAACGAUAUUCUGGUUAGUUGCUACUCUCAAGAUAAAUUCAGAUAUAUUAAAAUUCCGGAAUUUGGAAUCAAAAUAACUUAAUCUUAAUUAAAAAGUACUUGCCUGGAACAUAUUAUUCUUGAAUUUAUGAAUGUCAUGGAAAAUAUAUUUAUGGAAGCUUUUGAGAAGGAAGCUCUCGAUACUUUCGAUCUAAAACCAAAACUAAGUUGUUGAUAUUUGGGGAUACUGCCAUUUAGAUGUACGUUUAACCAUUAACUUAGACAUUGAUAAUAAUCUCCUAUCCUUAGAUAUUUUUAAUAAUAGAAAAUCAGACCAAACAUUCGAUCAUUCAUCACCAUCCGGCCUAUAAGUCAUCGGUUAUCAACUCUGCUGCUUACAUCCCCUUGAAACUAUUUCAACCCCAUUCACCAGAACCAAAAUCAAAACACCAAACAGUUUUUCUCUCAAAUAAUUUCCAUAUUUAAUAUAUUAAGCGUUCUAUAACAAAAUACACUUCAGCACAACCUCCCAAAUAAGAUGAGCCCGAAAGAUGCCCUUUGCCUGCCACUGCGGUCCUUCCUAUCUUUUAAAAUAUUACUGACUGAUAUUAUACUGAUAAAAGUUCUUUAGAAACAUAAUAUUUUAACUAAAUUUAACGCAUCGAGCACAAAAUUCAAAAACAGAACGAAAAAUACAAAUCAACAUAUCAUUAAUAACCAAAGCAUGAGGAAUCCAGAUUAGUAAAUAGUACUAAUUGGGUAUUUUUUGAAGUUGUACAUUCUUCCCUUACAUUUUCUUUUAAAAUGUUAUUGGAAGUGCUCACUACUGUUCAUUGUUAAUGGGGGUAUUUUACAGUAUCUACUUCCGACAUUUGGCUUGCCAUAAUAGCAUAUUAUGCAACAAGUUUGAUAAACGCCAUUUUAGUUACAGGUUUUCACGAGCGGAACACAGCAGAGCGUAUGCUCAAUAAAUUCGUGACUGAAUUUUAUCAACGCGUUGCAUGCUAUGCUCUUCUAGUUUUAAGUACUGGGACAACAAUAUAGCUAACGCUGCGCAGAACAUAGCAAACACCUGCGUAUACGGACACGUUGCUGUCCACGAUCGUGGUCAGUCGGUCAGAAUAUUUACGCAAAAUUCAAUCCAUACUACGAGAAAGGUGCUAACUGGACCCGUGCGAUUGAGGCCUGGUGGAGCGAGCAUGUUUCUUACAAGUAUCCAGCCGGAUUUUCAGAAAAAACUGAACACUAUACACAGGUUGUAUAGGCAUAGAGUACCAUAGAUAGUCCUUUGAGACUACCAAGUUGAAGAAGACCGAAGAGCUUCAAGUCUGGCGAUCUAGAAGGCCAGUUCCAUCGUUCCUUACCUCCUUUGAUGCAAACAAAACCAAAAACGGGACCAAAAACAUGUCACACUUGACAAAACAAGAAAACAGUUGAAACUAAGUGUAGGGAAAGGCUUAGUAAAUCGACCUACAAUUAUCAAUUAUGUAAAAACUUUUUUUUAAAUAGCUGGUUUGGGAUAACACCAUGUAUGUCGGAUGCGGUUACGCUCAUUUUCCUAUAGAUGGGCAGUACAAAUUCGAAAAGUUUUAUGUCUGCAACUAUGGUCCGGCGGGAAAUUUUCCCAGAGCGCCAUAUCAAACUGGAAAUUCCGGAUGUGAGAAUCUAUGUUGAGCCGUAUUUGAUAAAAAUAUGUUGAUUGUAAUAUAUUUUAUAAAACCUUAUUUAUUUGUUUGGCUU